AUGAGAGUUAUUCCAAUUAUUACGUAAUGCACGAAGUGGUAACGGAAAAACUGGCGGCUUCCUCGCACAAUGUAUCAGCAUUGCGAUACAACGAGGAAAUGUCGCGAGUAUGUCCAUUAUGUAUAUUGUUAUUGUAAAUAAAAUAUGUAUAUACUAAAAAUGUACGAAGUGAAAUACAAAUAGAAUAUCUAAUAUGACUUAUACUCGUGAAAUAAUAAAAGUACCCACCUCAAGGAUAUGCACUUAAUACAAUACGAGUACCUAUAUAAGGUUUGUGACAUAUUAUCUGAAGAAAAAUUUUCAUAUUUGCGACUUAACCAACUUAUUAUUUUAUUGCGACUUUCUUAGAGAUCCCAUACAGGGAUAAGUUCGCCUUUGUUGUAUUUAAUUUACUCUGUAACUGUGUUUUUCGUGUUUUUAUUUCUAUGUACAAUAAAGUAUAUACAUACAUACUUAACUACACAAAUUCCACCUAUCGAAAUAUACACCUAUCACUAACGUAUGCAAGUAGACAAUAUGUUUGUAAAUCUGCUAACCUUGCAUGAAAAAAAACUAAAGCUAAUUCUUAAACAUUUCGUUUUUUAUUGUGUAUUUAUGUAUUAUUACAGGUAUAUUACUAUUCUUCCGGCUUACCUAAAUACUAGAGUCAAUAAAUAGUGUUUAAAACCGUUUUGUACGCUCAUUUGAGGCGGUCGCGUGGUUUUUACCCUAAUUAGCGGUGAGUGCGGGCACGCUUGAGCUGGCAAUUUGUAGCUGACACAUUCGGAGCAGACAAACGAGGUGGCUACGACGAAUUUUGAAGCUCUUUAUAAGUAUCGUAAGCACAUGCGGAAUCAAAGUGUCAAAAAAAUCUGUUAAAAAUCGUUUAAUGUGGACAUUGUGGCUUUCGUGAUCGAAUUAACAAUGAUAGAUAGACAGAUAACGUAGUUGAAUACGCAAAUAUACAAGAUUGUUGAAAAGUGUAGUUAAACCUACUCGUAAUUAAAUCAUGUCCCGAGCAAAAGAAACCAUUUCCAACCAUUUAGAUACAUCAAUAGGUGAAAAUUGUGUGACACUAUUGACUAAAAUAGACGGACUCGAAGUACAGAUCAGACUUGAGAAAUGGCGGCAAAAAUUGGAGACUGUUAGCUUGAUCGUCAAAAAAUCUAAAAUAAUAUACAUGUUCUGCGAUUUGGACUAUGUAAUGGGAAAAGGGCAAGCGAAUGAUGAUAUACGCAGAUAUUCAGGAAGAUUUAAAACAGCUCAAGAAAGUAAAAGAGUCCGUAUACAGAAUAAUCCUUCUCAAUUUAUUUCCAAAAUAAAAUUGUGUUACGAUUGUUAAAUUUUGAAAUUAUAAACAGUCGUGUAAAACCUUGA